GCCCAAUCCCUCAGCCUAUACACUAACACUGGACAUAUACUGAGAAGAUUAGCAUGGGCCCUGCCCAAAGAUGACACACAAAUUCAUGAAGCAUUCCACAUAUUU